AAAUUAUGAGGACGCUGCUGCUAUUGGCUUCAAUAACACUAACAGACGUCGUUCAGUCCGCGGGUUCGUUGGAGAGAUGGAGAUGAGAACUGCUUGCGCGGCAUCGUGCAUGGCAUUACGCUUAUGACGCAUGUAAGCAUGAUUUUAUCUAUGGAUGCAAAGGUGCCUAAUGUUCCUUACAGCCGUGUGCAUUUUAUCAUGUAUAGUUGUCUGUCGUAAUGUUUCGGAGUACACAGUCCCAACGAUAGGUGCACGACGGAUGAGAUGUGUUUUCGCAUGUGAUAUGCUACGUCAGGUUAUUGACCUUGCUUGGUGCGAAUGUGAACCGGUUAGGUGCAAUCAGCUUCCACGUCACGCAGUGCCCUUGGGAAGAUGAGUAUGUGUAAUGCAUCUAUAAGUGCCGCUUCUGAGGCUAGUUCUAGCAAAUGAUUGUCUACACGAUAGGUUUUCUACAGUCGCGAGAACGGGAGUCCCUACAACUUCAACUCUAGGAGAGCUCGUAGCAUUUGCAGGGAGAACGUGUCGGUUGAUUAAGUUUGACAAUCAAUAUGUUGAAUUACUGCGCAAGAGAAGGAAGUCACUAAGUUUGUUUGUGGGAGCGGAGAAACGUUCGAACCCCAAGUCUACGCAUCUAGCCUGACUCAAGCUUGAACAUCGUUUGCUUUCUGCUUCAACAUGAGUCCCGAGUGUCGACGCGUGGCGGGCGUUUUGGCGCCCGCGUGUGGAAGGACUUUGGCAUCCGGUAUGUCUAUCUAAAUACGAAGGUCGCAAAGCCGACGAGUUCAUGUGUCAAAGCCACUUUCCACGUCAGGAGCCGCCGCUGGAUGCACGUUUCGUGGAUCGUGCUGAUGAGGUUCUCCAUGGCGUCAGCUGGAGUGGCCGUACGGCGGUGUGCCGAGGUCAAAACGCUUCAAUAGCGGGGAACUCACCGCACAGUAGGCCUUCUACCUGCUCAAACAGCCCGUCCAUCUCUGGUGACACCCUGGAAAAGUGCACAUUAUAGUUCAUGUU
rnacentral:lncRNA from 1 species